CCGAGUUUACAACUCCCAAACCCACUGUGAACAUACCCCAGUUGCCUCGGCGGGACCGCCCCGGCCAGCCGGCCCCCGCGCCGGCGCCGGAUCCAUGGCGCCCGCCGCAGGAACCCAACCAAACUCUUUUGCAUUUACCAUGUUUUCUCUCCGAGUUGCGAAAGCAAAACAAAUGAAUCA
rnacentral:misc_RNA from 1 species